AUGGCUGAAACAGGAUGUGACUGGAAGUAUGAGAUAGUCACAGCCUUCUCCAUCACUGCUGCCCGUGACGAUAGAGCCCCUCAGGUGAUUGUGACGUCUUCUGGCCGUGCAGUCAAAAGGAGAAUCCAGUUGUUAGACGAUGACCCAGCUCAGCAGACCUACAGUCACGAGGUUUACUUUGAUAGAGACACGAUUACUCACACUGUCCAGGAGAAAAAUACUCAUUCUGCUGCCAUGUUUAGAAAAUGAAGAGACCAGCUUCGGAUGAACCAUGAGCACAUUUCAUAGUUCUGUAUGUGAUGAUUAAUAAUGAGCUACAGUGCAUUUCUCCACAAAAAAACAUCAACAACCUUUUAUUAAAUUUUUCUAUUUGGAUUUUAGAGGACUCAAAAGACAUUUCUUUUUAAAUGCAUGAAUCAUGAGUCGUUUGGAUUGAAUAAUGCCGGCCCUGAACAAACAUUUAUCCGUUGAUGGAAUUGAACUUGAAACACUUUUCUGUUUAGUUAUUUUAUUUACUUGUAACUUUACUAAUAAAGACUAGUUUGUGACCAA
rnacentral:lncRNA from 1 species